GACACUAAUGUUCAAUAACUCUGAAUUUUAAUUUCCUGAAUCUUCUAACAUAUGUAACUUCUUUAGAACAUUUAUGGCAGUUUUUUUGAUUUAAUACAAUUUAGCCUGUGUUUGUUUUGCUUCGAACUUGUUGAUAUCUUUCUUUUGCCAAGAUAAUAUAGUUCUGAAAUAUAUAAUUUAUGGCAGUUUUUUUGAGAAAUUAACUGUAAAGAGUUUAGGGUGGGUGUGAGUGAAGAGAUACACACAGUAACUGGAAAGGCAUGAAUUCAAGGCU
rnacentral:lncRNA from 1 species